GAUGAAUCAUUGUUAUGUUGUGGAGUUGAGCUGUUUGUUAGAGUUGGCGAGUAGAACUGUUGAGUUAUGAUUAUGUGAGUUUUGUUGGUUUGAGUUGAGUUGUUAUGUUGAUGUGAGUUGAGUUGAGUUGAGUUGGUUUGAGUGAGGUUGUUAUGAUGAUGUGAGUUGAGUUGGUUUGAGUUGAGUUGUUAUGAUGAUGUGAGUUGAGUUGUGUUGGUCUGAGUUAAGUUGUUAUGAUGAUGUGAGUUGAGUUGGUUUGAGUUGAGUUGGUUUGAGCUGUAUUGGUUUGAGUGAGGUUGUUAUGAUGAUGUGCGUGAGUUUGUGUUGGUUUGAGUUGAGUUGUUAUGAUGAUGUGCGUUGAGUUGUGUUGGUUUGAGUUGAGUUGUUAUGAUGAUUUGGUUUGAGUUGAGUUGGUUUGAGUUGAGUUGUUAUGAUGAUGUGAGUUGAGUCGUGUUGAAGUGAGUGCUUUGUGUUAUUAUCCUCAGAGUUUAGUGUAAAGACGAUUCAAAAAGGCCGAUGUGGUUGAGAAUCUCUUCUUGUGGACCAGACCUAAAUGCCAUAAGACAUAAAUGAGACAUGAAAAUGGAUUUUUUUUUUUUUUUCAGUUUGAAAUGUGAGUUUCUUGAAUAAAAAACGCAGAUGAGCAUCUGUAUUCUGGGAAAUAAAAGCAAGUUCUCGGUACUGUACUCAUGCUGUUGCACCCGAGGGUAGCUCUCUAACUAUCCUCUGAGUGAUGGCGUUCGGAUGUUGACUAGCUCCAUCUGUCUCCCGCUGGCCGCUGGGCUUUGUGUACAUCAGAGCACGAAGGAGUGACGGAGGAAGGGAGGAGGGAAGAGAAGAGCUUUGAGCGUGAGACUGUUUUUGUUUGAAGAGGCGGGGUUUUUUUUUCCACAUCCGACCUUCAUUUCACCUAAUCUUCUUCUUCCUGCUUCACAACAACCCGCUUGUUUAUGAGCACCUGUGAGCUCUAGAGGGCUCGGAGGUUAUAGGUCGGCGGUCACGAGUUUCAUUUGGCCAAGAGGAGGAGUUAAAGAUUGACAUUUGAGACCGGUCACUGACUCAAUACUUGACCUCUUCUUCUUCUUCUUCUUCUUCCCAGCAUCUACGCAGACCAGAACAAACAUGACCGCUUGUUUUCCUCGGGGAAAGUCCGGGUCAAAACAUUCUCUUCCUGAUAUACACACGCAAAGCACACACGCUCUUCCUUGGAGCAUUCGCCCUCUGUCCCUCAACGCCCCGCGAAACUAGCCAGCUGCCUUUGUCGGGAUUGCAACGUGAUACCCCGGCCCGUCUCGUCUCUAAUUUGUAGGCAGUAAUUAGCGCUUGAGUGAAAGUCCCCGUCCCAAAAGCAGCCGACGGAAAGGUCAUCCAGCACCGAGCCUUUUUCCCUCUUGACGUCUUCCUCCUUUCGUGUGCAGGGUUGUUUUUUUUUUGUUUUUUUUUUUUGCUGGAGAUUUGGGACGAGGCCUUUUCAAUCUCCUGUUCAGUUUGCACAGCUUUGCUCUCCACUCAUUCCAGGCGUGAUGGAAAAAAAUAUGACUGAAAAUGCAUUUCGAAUCAAAUGCCCCGCGCUGCAAAAUGCAUUCGGCGGAAUAGAUUCGAGGAUAUAUUGUGUCUGUACCGAAGCC
ensembl:lncRNA